UACGUAGGGUGCGAGCGUUGUCCGGAAUUAUUGGGCGUAAAGGGCUCGUAGGCGGUUUGUCGCGUCGGGAGUGAAAUCCAUUGGCUUAACUGGUGGCUUGCUUUCGAUACGGGCAGACUGGAGGUAUGCAGGGGAGAACGGAAUUCCUGGUGUAGCGGUGAAAUGCGUAGAUAUUGGGAGGAACACCAGUGGCGAAGGCGGCUCACUGGACCGGUACUGACGCUGAUGCGCGAAAGCGUGGGGAGCAAACGGG
rnacentral:rRNA from 1 species